rnacentral:rRNA from 1 species
UACGGAGGGUGCAAGCGUUAAUCGGAAUUACUGGGCGUAAAGCGUGCGUAGGCGGUUCGUUAAGUCUGUUGUGAAAGCCCCGGGCUCAACCUGGGAAUGGCAAUGGAUACUGGCGAGCUAGAGUGUGUCAGAGGAUGGUGGAAUUCCCGGUGUAGCGGUGAAAUGCGUAGAGAUCGGGAGGAACAUCAGUGGCGAAGGCGGCCAUCUGGACACACUGACGCUGAGGCACGAAAGCGUGGGGAGCAAACAGG